rnacentral:rRNA from 1 species
UUACCUCAGUAACGGCGAGUGAAGCGGUAACAGCUCAAAUUUGAAAUCUGGCUCUUCCGGAGUCCGAGUUGUAAUUUGUAGAAGAUGCUUUGGGUGGUGGGUUCGGCCUAAGUUCCUUGGAACAGGACGUCAUAGAGGGUGAGAAUCCCGUAUGUGGCCGAGGCCCGCGCCUAUGUAAAGCUCUUUCAACGAGUCGAGUUGUUUGGGAAUGCAGCUCAAAAUGGGUGGUAAAUUUCAUCUAAAGCUAAAUAUGGGCCAGAGACCGAUAGCGCACAAGUAGAGUGAUCGAAAGAUGAAAAGCACUUUGGAAAGAGAGUUAAACAGUACGUGAAAUUGUUGAAAGGGAAGCGCUUGCAACCAGACUUGGGCGCUGUCGAUCACCCCGAGUUCUCUCGAGUGCACUCGACAGCGCACAGGCCAGCAUCGGUUCGGGUGGCUGGAUAAAGGCCGUAGGAACGUGGCUCCCUUCGGGGAGUGUUAUAGCCUACGGUGCCAUGCAGCCCAGCCGGACCGAGGACCGCGCCUUCGGGCUAGGAUGCUGGCGGAAUGGUUGUAAGC